GUCUGAAUCUGGAAUGAGCUGAGGAAGGGUUGGGAAUCAUUAUUUCAAAAAGUUAGAAUUCUGAGAUGCCCAUCAACUGUCACCUAGCUGGAGAUCUGAAUCCUGGUGUUUGCUGGGACCAUUUUACGUCACAGGUGAUGGAAAUUCAAAAUAAAAAUAUUAUGGCUCUAAAAGAGAGAUGGAUUGACAGAUACUCAGUGAUAGGAGCUGGUAAUUGUGAACUUGGAAAGUUCUGGGACAAAGGAUCUUACAGAAGACACAAAAUAAAGGAACAAGAGUCAAUCCAAGAGGACAAAUAGAUCAGGAUUGCUUAUUAUACCCAUGUCAGGUCCAUGAUAAGAAUGGCAGUGAAAUAGGAAACUAAGCUGAAUUUCAGCCAACUAGGGUUUAUCUAAAGGAGCAAAAAGGGGAAAACUACCAUUGGAUCUGCCCCUUGAACAGGAUCAUCAUCACAGAUAAGCAAAUCAGUGCCUAGCUUGCUGUGGAAGUUUGUGAGGAAGUCAAAGAAGAUAAACUAACAGCUCUUUAGACCCUCUCAGAAGAAUAAUAACAAUGUUUAUAUAGCAUUUUAAAGUAUUAUCUUCUUUGAUACUUACAACAAUCCUUUGAGAGCUGUCACAGGAGUCUUUUAGCAUUCCUGUAUUUCUGUCAAAGGAUAAAGUUGGGGACCACAUCAAUAUUACUUCAUGGCAUCUAUGGUCUAAGAGUCACAACCAGCUGACCUUCCAUGAAACAGUUUCAGAAAGAAGACCCUGCUAUUGAUCACUACUACUUCCUGCCUUUCUACCAUUAAAGUCACUUCUUAUAUGAGCUCAA
ensembl:lncRNA